GCUCGUCGUAGGCGACAGAGGCCUCUGUUCUUAUUGUAGAUCCCUUCUGAAGCAGCUGGGAGCUCAGAACGUGUUGCCACCUCUGAGGAGUAGGACCAGCCGGGAAAGCAAGAGGGGAUGGCGUGGAGCCCAGCCAGGGCCUGAGGAGUGAGCGUCAUCUGCAGACCACUGGACCUGGAGCCGCCAAGUCAGGAGGGCUGCGCCACCAGGGAGACUCAAGAAGAAUCGACGCUUCGGCCACCAGCGACAUGUACACGGUGUAAUGACAGGAAAUGAGCAGGUUUGCAGGGAGACUGCUGGCCUGAAAUUUAAGAGGAAGGCGUCACUGCUUGUUGUCUCUCUGUCCAUCGGUGUCUCUGUCUGUGCCCCCACAGCCUCCCGCAGGGCCUGAGGGAUUGUUUGUGAAGAAUUCGUGCACAUUCUGGAGAAGCGACUUCCAGACUCUGCCCCACCACCGCCCGGCUCCAGGACCAUCCGAGUGUCAGGGAGAUAAACGCAGAGUCAGUGUCCUCAGCCUCCCGCGGGGGCACAGGGAGGCUGUGGGUCUCCAUCCUGUUGGGUCUCCAUCACUCCAUCACUCUGCCUUGUGUGGUCAAAUGCUCGUCCCGCCCUGAGUUUGUAGAACGCCCAUCCUUUGAAAGCCCAAAGUAUGUUCACACUUAUUUCCUCUUGUAACCUGGCCACGUCCCUGUGACACCUGGCAGGGGAGGGCUGCACAGAACCAGGAAAUUCACAGUUGGGUGAAACAGCCCCAAGAUAGCAGAAGUUGAGCUGUUCAUGACCUUGGAAUCCAAGGAUCAAUCCUGG
rnacentral:lncRNA from 1 species